UUUUUUGAGGCUCUUGCGGCAGCGAGAAUUGCGGCAGUAGGGAAGGAUGGAAAGGGCUCCUGCGGGAGCAGACACUGCUAUGGCAGUGGUGAAAUAUAGGUAGAGGCUCCUGCGGGAGCAGACACUGCUGCGGCAGUGGUGAAAUAUAGGUAGAGGCUCCUGCGGGAGAAGACACUGCUGCGGCAGUGGUGAAAUAUAGGUAGAGGCUCCUGCGGGAGCAGACACUGCUGCGGCAGUGGUGAAAUAUAGGUAGAGGCUCCUGCGGAAGCGGAGACUGCUGCGGCAGUGGUGAAAUAUAGGUAGAGGCUCCUGCGGGAGCAGACACUGCUGCGGCAGUGGUGAAAUAUAGGUAGAGGCUCCUGCGGGAGCAGACACUGCUGCGGCAGUGGUGAAAUAUAGGUAGAGGCUCCUGCGGGAGCAGACACUGCUGCGGCAGUGGUGAAAUAUAGGUAGAGGCUCCUGCGGAAGCGGAGACUGCUGCGGCAGUGAGGAAAAAACAGAAAAGGCUCCUGCAGGAGCGGACAAUACUGCGGCGGUGGGGAGAUAUAGAGAAGGCUCCUGCGGGAGCGGACAAUGCUGCGGCGGUGGGGAGAUACAGAGAAAGCUCCUGCGGAAGGAUGGCUGAAGUGAGGAUUGACCAUUACAGAUAGAUAGGGCAUGUUAGGAGAGUUAGCUAUGGUAGAUUAGGAGUUUUAGUGAAAGGGGAUGAGCUGGCGUUAGAGGGGUUGGCUGAAGAGGGUUCGAGAUAGAUAUAUAAAUAAAUAAAAUAAUCGGCCUGACCAAUAAUAGGUCUUGGUACCCUCUGCCUUCUGGCAAAUCUGGAGCUGGAGGCCACUGAACAGAAAAAUGGUUAGUAGCAUGAGGGAGCGGAAGAGUUGAGGGCGCGUUUACGAAUGGAGGCGGCCUCACGUUUGCUUCAGCUGCUGUAGCUGUGGGUCGUGGGAAGGGGCUGGGGUGUGUGAUGUCUUGAAGAACCUGUGUAGCCUGCACUGCUAGCAGAAGUAACAGGAUGGAAAUACUGAGAUGUGCAGGCCCGUGUUGCAAGUAAAAGUAGCUUCAUGCUUGCUUUGGCUGCUGUAGUUGUUGGCUGAUUUGACAAUUGCUCAAACCUUGUCUGAAUUAAUACAGUCCUGUUGGAAAAGCAUCUUUUCCUCUUGUUUUGGCCUUCGGGCCCUUUUAAACAGCCUCCGGAGCAGAUAAAUUUGGGAUGCUGUUUUCCUGUUGUAGUAUGGACUGUGAAAAUAGAGGCUUUGAAACGAUGUAGCAUGUUUAGUUUUAUAAACCAUUGUACCAAUAGACAUGUCUAUAGCAGUAACGUUAAUUGCAGUAAUUCAAAUUCAAGCCGUUUCUAAAGACAUUUACUUUGCAUGCUUUUCAUAUAACAGUCCUAAAAAGACGAUAGAAAAUUUACUCACACUUGUUGUUCUGCAGCCAAACACGAGGCAGUAGCGUGAAAAAUUCUGAAUAAUCAUGCCAGUAAAUGGUGAAAUAUGUCCCUAAAUAAUUGAUCCUGCCGGAAUAAUUGCAUGAAACUUAUGUCUGUAUCAUCUCAGUGAGGUUUAAACAUGCACAGUAAAGCAAAUGUAAUGUCUUUAGACAUUUCGGUGUGGAUGACAACUCUGCAAAAAGCCUUUGCUUCGUGGUUAAAAAGUGGCAUCGUCAUCGGACAGAGUUAAGUCAUAACGCCGUUUAACAAAUUUUGGCGUCUUCAUAAGCGCAUUCUAUAUAUAACGUCUAUUUAAAUUGUUCAGAUGAGCAAAUCACGAGGUUUUCUUGCAUGAUUAGCAUUUUAAUUGUUUGGUCAGACGGUUCAUAUAUUGAUCUAUAUAUUCACGUUCAUAAAUCGGGGAUUAAACGUGGAAUUUAUCUUUUGUAUGCUAAACAUGUAAACAAUAUGUGCACAGUACCUAUAACUGCGCUUUACAUUUUGCAAGAUUGA